UUUGUUUUCUAAAAUUGCAUCAAGUUGCUCUUUUCAUAAUGAAAUUGUUCAUGUGAUUUACUUGUUGCUCAGGGUGAUGUCUCAAGGAGACAAAGGACACGCUUUGCUUCUUCUAACGUCUUAGAGGGUUAUGGUUGAUGAUUUUAUCGAUGAGGAUGAUGUCUCAAGGAGACAAGGACACGCUUCGCUUCUUCGUUGUGCUAAGGUGUGUGGAGAAGGAUCCUACAAUGGCUCAAUGAUGGCUUUGACUGAUCGUUGUCACUCGAUGUUACUCUUCUAAGAUGUUUUGGAAGCUAAUAAUUAUGUCUUUAUAGGU